rnacentral:rRNA from 1 species
UACGUAGGGAGCAAGCGUUGUCCGGAAUCAUUGGGCGUAAAGCGCGCGUAGGCGGCCCGAUAAGUCCGUUGUGAAAGUCAAAGGCUCAACCUUUGAAUGCCGAUGGAUACUGUCGGGCUAGAGUCCGGAAGAGGCGAGUGGAAUUCCUGGUGUAGCGGUGGGAUGCGCAGAUAUCAGGAGGAACACCAAUAGCGAAGGCAGCUCGCUGGGACGGUACUGACGCUAAGGCGCGAAAGCGUGGGGAGCGAACAGG